rnacentral:rRNA from 1 species
AGUGAACGCUGGCGGUAUGCCUAACACAUGCAAGUCGAACGGCAGCACAGUAAGAGCUUGCUCUUACGGGUGGCGAGUGGCGGACGGGUGAGGAAUACAUCGGCAUCUACUUUUUCGUGGGUGAUAACGUAGGGAAACUUACGCUAAUACCGCAUACGACCUACGGGUGAAAGCAGAGGAUCUUCGGACCUUUCGCGAUUGUAUGAGCCGGUGUCGGAUUAGCUAGUUGGCGGGGUAAAGGCCCACCAAGGCGACGAUCCGUAGCUGGUCUGAGAGGAUGAUCAGCCACACUGGAACUGAGACACGGUCCAGACUCCUACGGGAGGCAGCAGUGGGGAAUAUUGGACAAUGGGCGCAAGCCUGAUCCAGCCAUACCGCGUGGGUGAAGAAGGCCUUCGGGUUGUAAAGCCCUUUUGUUGGGAAAGAAAAGCAGCAGGUUAAUACCCCGCUGUUCUGACGGUACCCAAAGAAUAAGCACCGGCUAACUUCGUG